AUUGAACGCUGCGGUAGGCCUAACACAUGCAAGUCGAACGGUAACGGACCGCUGGGAUUCCUUCGGGAUGACCUUGGUGCCGACGAGUGGCGGACGGGUGAGUAACACGUAGGAAUCUGCCAAACAGUGGGGGACAACCCGGAGAAAUCCGGGCUAAUACCGCAUACGCCCUACAAGGGAGAGCGGGGGACCUUCGGGCCUCGCGCUGUUUGAGGAGCCUGCGUCGGAUUAGCUUGUUGGUGAGGUAAAGGCUCACCAAGGCGACGAUCCGUAGCUGGUCUGAGAGGAUGAUCAGCCACACUGGGACUGAGACACGGCCCAGACCCCUACGGGAGGCAGCAGUGGGGAAUAUUGCACAAUGGGCGAAAGCCUGAUGCAGCUAUACCGCGUGGGUGAAGAAGGCCUUAGGGUUGUAAAGCCCUUUCAGCAGGGAAGAAAGGUGCGGAGUUAAUAGCUCCGUAAUUUGACGGUACCUGAAUAAGAAGCACCGGCUAACUCCGUGCCAGCAGCCGCGGUAAUACGGAGGGUGCAAGCGUUAAUCGGAAUCACUGGGCGUAAAGCGCGCGUAGGCGGUCUAGUCAGUCAGAUGUGAAAGCCCCGGGCUCAACCUGGGAACUGCAUUUGAAACUGCUGGACUAGAGUGUGGUAGAGGGAAGUGGAAUUCCGAGUGUAGCGGUGAAAUGCGUAGAGAUUCGGAGGAACAUCAGUGGCGAAGGCGACUUCCUGGACAACAUGACGCUGAGGUGCGAAAGCGUGGGGAGCAAACAGGAUUAGAUACCUGGUAGUCACGCGUAAACGAUGUCUACUAGCCGUCGGGAAGCUUGACUUCUUUG
rnacentral:rRNA from 1 species